rnacentral:rRNA from 1 species
UAAGGAAUAUUGGUCAAUGGAGGCAACUCUGAACCAGCCAUGCCGCGUGCAGGAAGACGGCCCUCUGGGUUGUAAACUGCUUUUAUUCGGGAAUAAACCUAUCUACGUGUAGAUGGCUGAAUGUACCGAAGGAAUAAGGAUCGGCUAACUCCGUGCCAGCAGCGGCGGUAAUACGGAGGAUCCAAGCGUUAUCCGGAUUUAUUGGGUUUAAAGGGUGCGUAGGCGGCCUAUUAAGUCAGGGGUGAAAGCCGGUAGCUCAACUAUCGCAGUGCCCUUGAUACUGAUGGGCUUGAGUGAGCUAGAGGUGGGUGGAAUGUGCCGAGUAGCGGUGAAAUGCGUAGAUAUGGGGAGGAACACCGAUUGCGAAGGCAGCUUACUGGGCUUUUAUUGACGCUGAGGCACGAAAGCGUGGGGAUCAAACA